rnacentral:rRNA from 1 species
UAACCUGCCCAAGAGAUCGGGAUAACACCUGGAAACAGAUGCUAAUACCGGAUAACAACAGAUGAUGCCUAUCAACUGUUUAAAGGAUGGUUCUGCUAUCACUCUUGGAUGGACCUGCGGUGCAUUAGCUAGUUGGUAGGGUAACGGCCUACCAAGGCGAUGAUGCAUAGCCGAGUUGAGAGACUGAUCGGCCACAUUGGGACUGAGACGCGGCCCAAACUCCUACGGGAGGCAGCAGCC